CCUACGGGUGGCAGCAGUCGAGAAUCAUUCACAAUGGGGGAAACCCUGAUGGUGCGACGCCGCGUGGGGGAAUGAAGGUCUUCGGAUUGUAAACCCCUGUCAUGUGGGAGCAAAUUAAAAAGAUAGUACCACAAGAGGAAGAGACGGCUAACUCUGUGCCAGCAGCCGCGGUAAUACAGAGGUCUCAAGCGUUGUUCGGAAUCACUGGGCGUAAAGCGUGCGUAGGCUGUUUCGUAAGUCGUGUGUGAAAGGCGCGGGCUCAACCCGCGGACGGCACAUGAUACUGCGAGACUAGAGUAGUGGAGGGGGAACCGGAAUUAUCGGUGUAGCAGUGAAAUGCGUAGAUAUCGAGAGGAACACUCGUGGCGAAGGCGGGUUCCUGGACAUUAACUGACGCUGAGGCACGAAGGCCAGGGGAGCGAAAGGGAUUAGAUACCCCAGUAGUC
rnacentral:rRNA from 1 species